AUCCGGCUCACUGUGUCUUUUGAAGAUCUGCAUAGAAUGAAAUCCCUCAGAAGGUUCUAGAGGAUUUGCUCUCUCUGCGUCUGUGAGUUGCUCAUCAGUGACUUGACCUCAGAUUCAGACUGCAGCUGUACCACCCUCAACUCUCCGGGGUCUCGGGCUUGCCGAUAGCGCCGUGUUGGGACUGUUCAGAACCAUAUCUGUUGUCCUUACUUGAAGGCCCCCUACCUUAACAACCUGCAGCUACUCCAGUCUUGAGUUCAUCCUCUGUGAACUUAGAUGGUGUGACACCUCGUGGAAGAUGAGAGCCUUCCUGUCUCUGGACGCACAUCCUGAGGAUGGUACCUUUGCUGUGCUUUCGACCACGAGAUAUCCCACCAAGUAGGAAUGAUUGAUCCAGUAGAGACUGCUACAGGGUUCCACUGAGGAAUUGUCUCUAAGCUCCAUCUCCAUUUGCUACAAGGCCCUUCAACUGUGGAAGACAUGGAGGAUGCCACUGCUGGAGGUCCCAGAGAGUCCUUGAGAGCAUGGGCCGGUUGUUAGCACUGAGAGGAGGUAUGUGUGAACUCAGUGAUGGUGACAGAUAUUCCAAGACCACUGAAGCCCGAACCACACAGCAGCUAGUCUCAAAGUCCCUGGGCCAAUAGGUUUCAGUGAAGAUGUCUUGGGAACGUGGUGGUACAGCUCUAAAGGCCAUCUUUGAAGUACCAGUUUUUGUAUUAUUCUUGUGGGCAUACUAUUAGAGUUCACAGCUUAAGACUGGUUAACUGACAUAGCAAUGCCACCCUAGGAUUUGUUCAUUAGCAUAUCAAAGCCUGCUUGGCUCCUAUCAGACCUGCCUUGUGGCUAGCUCUUGCAAGCUUUACAUUAUUCCAAGCCACAUAAAAUGGUUUUUAAGUUAAACAAAUUGGCUUCACUUAUGUUCCCAACAAUUUUACACCCCCAUUAGCAAUAAU